rnacentral:snRNA from 1 species
AUGCUUUGUCAGCACAUCUACUGAAAUUGUAAGUAUGCAGAGAUUGGUCUGGCCCCCGUGCAUGGAGUGCAUGCACAUUUGUGAAACAUUUCAUAUUAAA